UGAGAUUGGUAUUCUAAUAUAUGGGUUAUAUUGUUGAAUAGAUGAAUGAGCAAAUACAAGACUUGAAAAGUCCUUCAAUGAUAUAUUUCUGGUAUAGAGUGUUGGCGAAACGACAUGAAUUCUGAGUUUGACGCUACGCAGAAUGAGAUUGCAUCCAUUAAGUUGAAAUAACUACUAUGAAAGGUGAAAUGACUAUCAUUGGCAGAAAAUGAACAUUAGUUUUAUACGUUGACAUUCUUACGGCACUUUUUAUUUACAAUUUUGCUUACUACUAGUCAUCCCGUUUUAACUUUGUUCUUAGGAGUUAAUUUAUUUUACUUUAUUCAUUUAUUUUUUUAUUUUUUUUGAAACUCGUAUUAUCGUUCAAUUUCAGAACAUCUUUACUGCUUUGCCUGCCCGGUUGACAAAUAAAUACGAUUUCAAACGAACAA